rnacentral:ribozyme from 15 species
ACCUAGAAAGAAAGAAAGACCUAGAAAGAAAGAAAGCCCUAGAAAGAACGAUUCGAUCGGCAGUAGUAGUUUGGGUUGGAUUACUUUGUUAGGGGAAUCACUGUUUCAUAUUUUUGUUUGUUUGUUUGUCGCCUUUUGU